CCAGACUCCUACGGGAGGCAGCAGUGGGGAAUCUUCCGCAAUGGACGAAAGUCUGACGGAGCAACGCCGCGUGAGUGAUGACGGCCUUCGGGUUGUAAAGCUCUGUUAAUCGGGACGAAAGGCCUUCUUGCGAAUAGUGAGAAGGAUUGACGGUACCGGAAUAGAAAGCCACGGCUAACUACGUGCCAGCAGCCGCGGUAAUACGUAGGUGGCAAGCGUUGUCCGGAAUUAUUGGGCGUAAAGCGCGCGCAGGCGGAUCAGUCAGUCUGUCUUAAAAGUUCGGGGCUUAACCCCGUGAGGGGAUGGAAACUGCUGAUCUAGAGUAUCGGAGAGGAAAGUGGAAUUCCUAGUGUAGCGGUGAAAUGCGUAGAUAUUAGGAAGAACACCAGUGGCGAAGGCGACUUUCUGGACGAAAACUGACGCUGAGGCGCGAAAGCCAGGGGAGCGAACGGGAUUAGAUACCCCGGUAGUCCUGGCCGUAAACGAUGGGUACUAGGUGUAGGAGGUAUCGACCCCUUCUGUGCCGGAGUUAACGCAAUAAGUACCCCGCCUGGGGAGUACGACCGCAAGGUUGAAACUCAAAGGAAUUGACGGGGGCCGCACAAG
rnacentral:rRNA from 1 species